rnacentral:SRP_RNA from 1 species
GCCAGGCGUGGUGGCGCACGCCUGUAGUCCCAGCUACUCGGGAGGCUGAGGCAGGAGAAUGGCUUGAACCUGGGAGGUGGAGGUUGCAGUGAGCCAAGACUAUGCCACUGCACUCCAGCCUAGGCAACAGAGCAAGACUCUGUCUCAA